AAACAAGCUACAAAACUGACGAUUAUUAACUACGGUGUGCAUGACACAGAAAAGAUAAAAGUUUUUCAUUUUGGCCUUAACCGUACAAAGGCUUAUACACUUUUUAGAGCAGCUCAUACUGUAUAAAUAUGACGAACAGUGAUAUUUGAAAUUAUAUGAACAAAUGCUUCAUCAGGUAUUACAUCAUUGUUAUGGCCAGCAGCCGGAGUUAAUGAAUAUUAAAAAUAUAUCAGUGUCGGAAAACGUGAAACAACUAGACAAAAAACAACUGGCAGCAGAAUACAACAACAACAAUGAGGAUUACGAUCCGUCCAUGCAAAAAGAUAAAGAAAAACAAAACCAGAUGCAUCGAGUGCGUGAAAAGCUUCAGCACCCAAACGAAAAUGCUUCAGAAAGCUCACGCGCAUGGAUGUUCUGCGAACGAUGCUGUGGUGAGAGGCAGCAGCAAGAGCCAGAGCUAGAACAAGAGCAAGAG